rnacentral:rRNA from 1 species
CGGUGGCGAAGGCGGCCCCCUGGACAAAGACUGACGCUCAGGUGCGAAAGCGUGGGGAGCAAACAGGAUUAGAUACCCUGGUAGUCCACGCCGUAAACGAUGUCUACUUGGAGGUUGUGCCCUUGAGGCGUGGCUUCCGGAGCUAACGCGUUAAGUAGACCGCCUGGGGAGUACGGCCGCAAGGUUAAAACUCAAAUGAAUUGACGGGGGCCCGCACAAGCGGUGGAGCAUGUGGUUUAAUUCGAUGCAACGCGAAGAACC